AGUGAACGCUGGCGGUAGGCCUAACACAUGCAAGUCGAACGGCAGCACAGGAGAGCUUGCUCUCUGGGUGGCGAGUGGCGGACGGGUGAGGAAUACAUCGGAAUCUACUCUGUCGUGGGGGAUAACGUAGGGAAACUUACGCUAAUACCGCAUACGACCUACGGGUGAAAGCAGGGGAUCUUCGGACCUUGCGCGAUUGAAUGAGCCGAUGUCGGAUUAGCUAGUUGGCGGGGUAAAGGCCCACCAAGGCGACGAUCCGUAGCUGGUCUGAGAGGAUGAUCAGCCACACUGGAACUGAGACACGGUCCAGACUCCUACGGGAGGCAGCAGUGGGGAAUAUUGGACAAUGGCCGCAAGCCUGAUCCAGCCAUACCGCGUGGGUGAAGAAGGCCUUCGGGUUGUAAAGCCCUUUUGUUGGGAAAGAAAUCCAGCUGGCUAAUACCCGGUUGGGAUGACGGUACCCAAAGAAUAAGCACCGGCUAACUUCGCGCCAGCAGCCGCCGCCG
rnacentral:rRNA from 1 species